rnacentral:rRNA from 1 species
GGGGAAUAUUGGACAAUGGGGGCAACCCUGAUCCAGCAAUGCCGCGUGUGUGAAGAAGGUCUUCGGAUUGUAAAGCACUUUUCGACGGGGACGAUGAUGACGGUACCCGUAGAAGAAGCCCGGCUAACUUCGUGCCAGCAGCCGCGGUAAUACGAAGGGGGCUAGCGUUGCUCGGAAUGACUGGGCGUAAAGGGCGUGUAGGCGGUUUACACAGUCAGAUGUGAAAUCCCCGGG